rnacentral:rRNA from 1 species
CCCCGAGGAAAAGAAAUCAACCGAGAUUCCCCCAGUAGCGGCGAGCGAACGGGGAGCAGCCCAGAGCCUGAAUCAGUGUGUGUGUUAGUGGAAGCGUCUGGAAAGGCGCGCGAUACAGGGUGACAGCCCCGUACACAAAAAUGCACAUGCUGUGAGCUCGAUGAGUAGGGCGGGACACGUGGUAUCCUGUCUGAAUAUGGGGGGACCAUCCUCCAAGGCUAAAUACU